rnacentral:rRNA from 1 species
UCCUACGGGAGGCAGCAGUGGGGAAUAUUGCACAAUGGGCGAAAGCCUGAUGCAGCGACGCCGCGUGAGGGAUGACGGCCUUCGGGUUGUAAACCUCUUUCAGCAGGGAAGAAGCCACAAGUGACGGUACCUGCAGAAGAAGCGCCGGCUAACUACGUGCCAGCAGCCGCGGUAAUACGUAGGGCGCAAGCGUUGUCCGGAAUUAUUGGGCGUAAGGAGCUCGUAGGCGGUUUGUCGCGUCUGCUGUGAAAGCCCGGGGCUUAACCCCGGGUGUGCAGUGGGUACGGGCAGACUAGAGUGCAGUAGGGGAGACUGGAAUUCCUGGUGUAGCGGUGGAAUGCGCAGAUAUCAGGAGGAACACCGAUGGCGAAGGCAGGUCUCUGGGCUGUUACUGACGCUGAGGAGCGAAAGCAUGGGGAGCGAACAGGAUUAGAUACCCUGGUAGUCCAUGCCGUAAACGUUGGGCACUAGGUGUGGGGGACAUUCCACGUUUUCCGCGCCGUAGCUAACGCAUUAAGUGCCCCGCCUGGGGAGUACGGCCGCAAGGCUAAAACUCAAAGGAAUUGACGGGGGCCCGUACAAGCGGCGGAGCAUGCGGAUUAAUUCGGUGCAACGCGAAGAACCUUACCAAGGCUUGACAUAUACCGGAUCGUUCCAGAGAUGGUUCUUCCCCUUUGGGGUCGGUAUACAGGUGGUGCAUGGUUGUCGUCAGCUCGUGUCGUGAGAUGUUGGGUUAAGUCCCGCAACGAGCGCAACCCUCGUUCCAUGUUGCCAGCACGUGAUGGUGGGGACUCAUGGGAGACUGCCGGGGUCAACUCGGAGGAAGGUGGGGAUGACGUCAAAUCAUCAUGCCCCUUAUGUCUUGGGCUUCACGCAUGCUACAAUGGCCGGUACAAAGGGUUGCGAUACUGUGAGGUGGAGCUAAUCCCAAAAAGCCGGUCUCAGUUCGGAUUGAGGUCUGCAACUCGACCUCAUGAAGUCGGAGUCGCUAGUAAUCGCAGA